rnacentral:lncRNA from 1 species
AUGGUCUAGAUCAUAGCCGAUCAUGAUCGGAUGGUUGAAACUCAAUCCAAGUAUGAUCAAGUAUAAUCAUAGGCUAUUUUGCAUGAUCGCAUGGCUCUGGUGUGAGCCAGUCAUGAUCAAACGGCCACAGAUGAUUGGGACUCUUUAUUCUUACUGAAGCAGUAUUUUUGAGAUUCUGGAGCCUAUAUAGCUCUGAUUGAUGGG